rnacentral:rRNA from 1 species
ANANUGCAGUCGAACGAACUCGCGUGAUGAUUGAAGCUUGCUUCAUGAAUCACAUUUGAGUGAGUGGCGGACGGGUGAGUAACACGUGGGUAACCUGCCCAAAAGUGGGGGAUAACAUCUGGAAACAGGUGCUAAUACCGCAUAACAACUACUUUCACAUGAUCGUAGCUUGAAAGAUGGCUCUGCUAUCGCUUUUGGAUGGACCCGCGGCGUAUUAGCURGUUGGUGAGGUAACGGCUCACCAAGGCAAUGAUACGUAGCCGACCUGAGAGGGUAAUCGGCCACAUUGGGACUGAGACACGGCCCAAACUCCUACGGGAGGCAGCAGUAGGGAAUCUUCCACAAUGGGCGAAAGCCUGAUGGAGCAAUGCCGCGUGAGUGAAGAAGGUUUUCGGAUCGUAAAACUCUGUUGUUGAAGAAGAACAUGCGUGAGAGUAACUGUUCACGUACUGACGGUAUUCAACCAGAAAGCCACGGCUAACUACGUGCCAGCAGCCGCGGUAAUACGUAGGUGGCAAGCGUUGUCCGGAUUUAUUGGGCGUAAAGAGAAUGUAGGCGGUUUAUUAAGUUUGAAGUGAAAGCCCUCGGCUCAACCGAGGAAGUGCUUCGAAAACUGGUAAACUUGAGUGCAGAAGAGGAAAGUGGAACUCCAUGUGUAGCGGUGGAAUGCGUAGAUAUAUGGAAGAACACCAGUGGCGAAGGCGGCUUUCUGGUCUGUAACUGACGCUGAGAUUCGAAAGCAUGGGUAGCAAACAGGAUUAGAUACCCUGGUAGUCCAUGCCGUAAACGAUGAGUGCUAAGUGUUGGAGGGUUUCCGCCCUUCAGUGCUGCAGCUAACGCAUUAAGCACUCCGCCUGGGGAGUACGACCGCAAGGUUGAAACUCAAAGGAAUUGACGGGGGCCCGCACAAGCGGUGGAGCAUGUGGUUUAAUUCGAAGCAACGCGAAGAACCUUACCAGGUCUUGACAUACCAUGAAAAGCUAAGAGAUUAGUCUUUCCCUUCGGG